rnacentral:rRNA from 1 species
UACGUAGGGGGCUAGCGUUGUCCGGAAUCAUUGGGCGUAAAGAGCGUGUAGGCGGCCCGGUAAGUCCGCUGUGAAAGUCGGGGGCUCAACCCUCGAAUGCCGGUGGAUACUGUCGGGCUUGAGUACGGAAGAGGCGAGUGGAAUUCCUGGUGUAGCGGUGAAAUGCGCAGAUAUCAGGAGGAACACCAAUUGCGAAGGCAGCUCGCUGGGACGUUACUGACGCUGAGACGCGAAAGCGUGGGGAGCAAACA